GAUGAACGCUGGCGGCGUGCCUAAUACAUGCAAGUCGAACGAAACUUCUUUAUCACCGAGUGCUUGCACUCACCGAUAAAGAGUUGAGUGGCGAACGGGUGAGUAACACGUGGGCAACCUGCCCAAAAGAGGGGGAUAACACUUGGAAACAGGUGCUAAUACCGCAUAACCAUAGUUACCGCAUGGUAACUAUGUCAAAGGUGGCUAUACUACCGCUUUUGGAUGGGCCCGCGGCGCAUUAGCUAGUUGGUAGGGUAAAGGCUUACCAAGGCAAUGAUGCGUAGCCGAAGUGAGAGGUUGAUCGGCCACAUUGGGACUGAAACACGGCCAAAACUCCUACGGGAGGCAGCAGUAGGGAAUCUUACACAAUGGGCGAAAGCCUGAUGGAGCAACGCCGCGUGGGUGAAGAAGGUCUUCGGAUCGUAAAACCCUGUUGUUAGAGAAGAAAGUGCGUGAGAGUAACUGUUCACGUUUCGACGGUAUCUAACCAGAAAGCCACGGCUAACUACGUG
rnacentral:rRNA from 1 species